ACAAUCGUUACUAACAACAACAAGAUAGACGAGAGAUGACCCGUUGGGGAUAAAUUGCGUAAUUAGAGCAAUUAUCCAAGAGAUAUAUCACCGGUUACUGGGUUGUAUACUAAAAAAUUAAGGAAUGUCAAUAUCGAAUUUUGUAUAAAGAUAACCAACAAGGAGGGAAUUACAUCUACCGGUAUGAGGGUAGAGAACCACAAAAGAGAGUACCCGUCAUCGGUUAGGAUGAACAACAAUCAAGGUUUAACUCUGCACGGGGACAAAAUGGGGUUUAC
rnacentral:lncRNA from 1 species